AAUCAACGCUGGCGGCGUGCCUCAGACAUGCAAGUCGAACGAUUAAGACUUCCUUCGGGAAGUGCAUAAAGUGGCGCACGGGUGAGUAACACGUAAGUAAUCUACCCUCGAGUGGGGAAUAACGUUCGGAAACGAACGCUAAUACCGCAUAACGCAGCGGCACCGCAAGGUGACAGUUGUUAAAGGAGCAAUCCGCUUGAGGAGGAGCUUGCGGCAGAUUAGCUAGUUGGUAAGGUAAUGGCUUACCAAGGCUACGAUCUGUAUCCGGUCUAAGAGGACGGUCGGACACACUGACACUGAAUAACGGGUCAGACUCCUACGGGAGGCAGCAGUCGGGAAUUUUGGGCAAUGGGCGAAAGCCUGACCCAGCAACGCCGCGUGAAGGAUGAAGUAUUUCGGUAUGUAAACUUCGAAAGAAUGGGAAGAAUAAAUGACGGUACCAUUUAUAAGCUCCGGCUAACUACGUGCCAGCAGCCGCCGUAAAAC
rnacentral:rRNA from 1 species